UCUCAACGAGUCGAGUUGUUUGGGAAUGCAGCUCUAAAUGGGUGGUAAAUUCCAUCUAAGGCUAAAUAUUGGCGAGAGACCGAUAGCGAACAAGUACCGUGAGGGAAAGAUGAAAAGCACUUUGGAAAGAGAGUUAAACAGCACGUGAAAUUGUUAAAAGGGAAACGAUUGAAGUCAGUCGUGUGAAAGGUAUUCAGCCGUCUCUGGCGGUGUAUUUGCCUUUCACGGGUC
rnacentral:rRNA from 1 species